CUCUGUAGCUCAGAGGUUAGAGCAGGGGACUCAUAAGCCCAAGGUCGUAGGUUCAAAUCCAACCAGAGUC
rnacentral:tRNA from 1 species